UACAGAGGGGGCAAGCGUUGUUCGGAAUUACUGGGCGUAAAGGGCGCGUAGGCGGCCUUCUAAGUCAGACGUGAAAUCCCCGGGCUCAACCCGGGAACUGCGUCUGAUACUGGAAGGCUUGAAUCCGGGAGAGGGAUGCGGAAUUCCAGGUGUAGCGGUGAAAUGCGUAGAUAUCUGGAGGAACACCGGUGGCGAAGGCGGCAUCCUGGACCGGCAUUGACGCUGAGGCGCGAAAGCCAGGGGAGCAAACGGG
rnacentral:rRNA from 1 species